rnacentral:rRNA from 1 species
CCCUAGUAACUGCGAGUGAAGCGGGAAAAGCUCAAAUUUAAAAUCUGGCGGUCUUUGGCCGUCCGAGUUGUAGUCUGGAGAAGUGCUUUCCGCGCUGGACCGUGUAUAAGUCUCUUGGAACAGAGCGUCAUAGAGGGUGAGAAUCCCGUCUUUGACACGGACUACCAGUGCUUUGUGAUGCGCUCUCGAAGAGUCGAGUUGUUUGGGAAUGCAGCUCAAAAUGGGUGGUGAAUUCCAUCUAAAGCUAAAUAUUGGCGAGAGACCGAUAGCGAACAAGUACCGUGAGGGAAAGAUGAAAAGCACUUUGGAAAGAGAGUUAAACAGUACGUGAAAUUGCUGAAAGGGAAACGCUUGAAGUCAGUCGCGUUGUUCGGAACUCAGCCUUGCUUUCGCUUGGUGCACUUUCCGGACGACGGGUCAGCAUCGAUUUUGACCGUCGGAUAAGGGCUGGAGUAAUGUGGCACCUCCGGGUGUGUUAUAGACUCUGGUCGCAUACGACGGUUGGGAUCGAGGAACGCAGCGCGCCGCAAGGCAGGGGUUCGCCCACUUUCGCGCUUAGGAUGCUGGCAUAAUGGCUUUAAGCGACCCGUCUUGAAACACGGACCAAGGAGUCUAACAUACCUGCGAGUGUUUGGGUGGAAAACCCGAGCGCGUAAUGAAAGUGAAAGUUGAGACCCCUGUCGUGGGGGGCAUCGACGCCCGGACCUGACGUUCUCUGACGGAUCCGCGGUAGAGCAUGUGUGUUGGGACCCGAAAGAUGGUGAACUAUGCCUGAAUAGGGUGAAGCCAGAGGAAACUCUGGUGGAGGCUCGUAGCGAUUCUGACGUGCAAAUCGAUCGUCAAAUUUGGGUAUAGGGGCGAAAGACUAAUCG